UAGCCACACCCUCCUGUUGAUUACUUCCGUGCAACAGCUCUAUAAUGUGAUCAAACUGGAUAAACUACUUUGCUAAUUAUAAUAAACUACAGUGUUUACCAGUAUAGACAUUGGCCAAUUGACUAAUUUGCAGUCUCUCAAUAUAUCACACAAUUCACUAACUGUUCUACCACAGUCAAUCAAAUUAUGGUACAGUUAGUCUUCAGCCACUUACCAGCACACGCAAUCCUGUCUAUUCAGCACCUGAAGCAGGCAGUCCAAGGGAACAUUCUCCUGCAAUGGAUGUCUUCAGUUAUG